rnacentral:rRNA from 1 species
CCUACGGGAGGCAGCAGUGAGGAAUAUUGGUCAAUGGACGCAAGUCUGAACCAGCCAUGCCGCGUGCAGGAAGACGGCUCUAUGAGUUGUAAACUGCUUUUGUACGAGGGUAAACGCAGAUACGCGUAUCUGUCUGAAAGUAUCGUACGAAUAAGGAUCGGCUAACUCCGUGCCAGCAGCCGCGGUAAUACGGAGGAUUCAAGCGUUAACCGGAUUUAUUGGGUUUAAAGGGUGCGUAGGCGGUCAGAUAAGUUAGAGGUGAAAUCCCGAGGCUCAACUUCGGAAUUGCCUCUGAUACUGGUAGGCUGGAGAGUAGGUGCGGAAGGCGGAAUGUAUGGUGUAGCGGUGAAAUGCGUAGAGAUCA